UGGGGAAUAUUGCACAAUGGGCGAAAGCCUGAUGCAGCGACGCCGCGUGAGGGAUGACGGCCUUCGGGUUGUAAACCUCUUUCAGCAGGGACGAAGCGCAAGUGACGGUACCUGCAGAAGAAGCACCGGCUAACUACGUGCCAGCAGCCGCGGUAAUACGUAGGGUGCAAGCGUUGUCCGGAAUUACUGGGCGUAAAGAGUUCGUAGGCGGUUUGUCGCGUCGUUUGUGAAAACCAGCAGCUCAACUGCUGGCUUGCAGGCGAUACGGGCAUGCUUGAGUACUGCAGGGGAGACUGGAAUUCCUGGUGUAGCGGUGAAAUGCGCAGAUAUCAGGAGGAACACCGGUGGCGAAGGCGGGUCUCUGGGCAGUAACUGACGCUGAGGAACGAAAGCGUGGGUAGCGAACAGG
rnacentral:rRNA from 1 species